GAUAGAAUAACAAAACAUACAAAAACAGAAGAAUUCAUCUUUCUCAUUGUCAUCAUUGUCAAUAUGGUACUAAUACGUUCUUCUUCUUCUUCUUGCUCUUCUUCUUCUUCUUCUUUCCAUUUGUUUGUGGAGUU
rnacentral:ribozyme from 12 species